GACGAACGCUGGCGGCGUGCUUAACACAUGCAAGUCGAACGGUGAAGCGAGUGCUUGCACUCGUGGAUCAGUGGCGAACGGGUGAGUAACACGUGAGUAACCUGCCCAUCACUCUGGGAUAAGCACUGCAAACGGUGUCUAAUACUGGAUACGACCAACCCUUGCAUGGGGUGUUGGUGGAAAGAUUUAUCGGUGAUGGAUGGACUCGCGGCCUAUCAGCUUGUUGGCGGGGUAAUGGCCCACCAAGGCGACGACGGGUAGCCGGCCUGAGAGGGUGACCGGCCACACUGGGACUGAGACACGGCCCAGACUCCUACGGGAGGCAGCAGUGGGGAAUAUUGCACAAUGGGCGAAAGCCUGAUGCAGCGACGCCGCGUGAGGGAUGACGGCCUUCGGGUUGUAAACCUCUUUCAGCAGGGAAGAAGCGAAAGUGACGGUACCUGCAGAAGAAGCACCGGCUAACUACGUG
rnacentral:rRNA from 1 species